rnacentral:lncRNA from 1 species
AGAUUAAAUGAUCCAGAUGAAUAUAUUUAUUUGUAUACAAAAGUUAUAUAUACAUGUAUAUUCACAUAUGUGUAUAUAUAUAGUAAACACACAUACAACAUAUCUGUAGAUGCACGUUCAUGAGCACACACACACAUACUUAUCCCACAGAAAGCAAACUACCCAUGUACCAACUGGACCCACAAUGAUUGGCUCAAGAUUAUUAUCUUCGUUAUAAACGUGGUAAAAUGAGCAAACUCCACUUAAGAAACAAGCUGCUGUUCUUCACAUUUAUAAGUCACAGUCUGAGGGAUCUUAGAGUCUAAGAUCUCAUAAUUAAGGGGUGCUGAUCCCCAAGGUAACUUGACAUUUGCAGAAAAAUAUUGAAUCUUUUUUGCAAUGUAUUAAAUUUUGAUUACAUUGACUAGUCUCUAAUGAUUCCUUGUAGUUAGAUAGUUUGCUGGUUGGUACCCUUCCCUGGAAACCAGUAGGUUUCUUCAUCCACAUGCAUAAAUUACAUUUGGUGAUGUUGUAGCAGAGAUUAGUAGAGCUUUGGUUUGGUAAAACUAAUUCUUAAGCAUAGAUAAAGAGCCAUUCCAUUCACUUGGGAAAGAUCUGCAAUGAAAGUCACCAUUCAUGGGUCCAGAGCCAUCUCCUCUCAGUGUGGCCACGGGUUCCCAUUCUCAAGGCGGAGUGAAAGUGAGACCGAGGAACUCUCACUUGACAAACGCUUUUUCAUGUGAAAUAACAUGAACUCCUUUUCCCCCUAGACUAAGUUGUGUCAGAUCAUUGUCUCUUCCGCAGUACAGGAAGAGAAGCUAAUCUAUAAAACAAUGAGACUUCACUCUGGAUGCCAAAAUCUGCAAUUACAUUGUACGGAGGGGCUUCAUGAAUAAUUCCUGGGGUAUGAUCUGACAUUAAUCUGGAAGUUAAUACAGAGCUGGGGCAUUGCCAGCAUAAAGCUGACUGAUUUCUUUAUAACAGAGCACUUUCAAGGUGAGGAUACAGCCUUUUCUCUAAGUUACACUCUCCAUCCAAGCUGAGCACUAAGCUAUCAUCUUUACGUCUUCUGUUUCCUCCUCUGAGUUGGAUGUCUGGGUAUUGGCAACACAGUACCAUCUUAGAAAAAAAAGGCACUUCAAUUAGGCAAGACAGCUCCAAGAUUUUAGCUAUUUCUCACAUAUUAGUUAGUUUUAAAUGGCCUUGUAAGAAAAUACCCUAGUGUGGUAUAACUGUACAUGUGACACUGUUCCUGGCCAAGCCUUUGACCAAGGUCCCAGUUUGCUCUCAGAACUGGUCCCUUACUAAGGCCUAGGGAAAAUAAUCUCAGAAAAUCUCCUUUAGGAGUUAUUGAUGGAUCAAUGUUGGUAUCACCUCUUGAAGUAAAUCAGAAUUAUGAUGAAUCUUUUCUGAUGAUCUUUUCUUAGUUAACAUGUUUCUUGAUUCAAAUGCAUGUUUAUAGGGUACAUAUGUUCAGCAUUGUAACAGAAAUUUUGAUAAAUUAUUAAAAGAAAAAAAAAACCUAACCAAUCAACAACAACAUGUUUUCUGCCCCGGGGGAUCUUCCUAUCCAGCUAAAGAAAAAUGAGUAGAACAGAUAAUAAUGUUUAGAGAAAGAAGUGGUGAGUGGAAUGGAAUGCUGGGAGAAAGCAUUUUGCCGAGGAGGGAUGAGUUUGGGUUGAGCUUUGGUGGCUGGUAAGAGUUUGGGUUGAUGAAGAGAAGUUUUGUGAUUUUUUUAAGAUAAUAAUAACCAAGCAAAAGAGUGGGCAUGACACUGAUUUUCCUGUGUAAUAUUUAAAAUAUUUGACAACAGGUAUGGCACAGAUACUAACCAAUCAGAGUGGCUGCAACCUGCCAUUAACAACCAACACACCGUAACAGUGCAGAACGCUGAAAUAGCAGCCUGGCUCGGGACUGUUCAGCAUUUUCUUGUUCUGUUUGUUGGCAUGCCUGUUGUCUGUCUCCCUCCCCUAGAAUAUAAAUGUACCUGCAGCACACGAAGAACUGCCCGAGUAUGACUGUUUCUCCGUAUUUGUUCAGCGGCUGAAUGUUUACAAAACUGUACACAAAAAUCUCAGAUUGGCCUGACGAGAACAGAAAACUGAUAUCAGGGGGUUGAAAAUGAAAAGUAGAGAGAUAGGAUGGGCAAAACAAUGGCCAUCUUUAAAUGUCGAGAUUGUAAAUUUGAACAAUUUUCUGUGAAUAGUGAAGAAUCAAUGGAGAUAUACAAAAAUACAGGA